rnacentral:rRNA from 1 species
GACGAACGCUGGCGGCGCGCUUAACACAUGCAAGUCGAACGGAAAGGCCUGCUUUCCCUUGUGGAUUGCGGGUACUCGAGUGGCGAACGGGUGAGUAACACGUGAGUGAUCUGCCCCCAACUUGGGUAUAAGCCUGGGAAACUGGGUCUAAUUCCCGAUAGGACUGCAGGGUGGUGCCUGUGGUGGAAAACGAUUUUCUAGUGGUUGGGGAUGAGCUCGCGGCCUAUCAGCUUGUUGGUGGGGUAAUGGCCUACCAAGGCGGUGACGGGUAGCCGGCCUGAGAGGGUGGACGGCCACAUUGGGACUGAGAUACGGCCCAGACUCCUACGGGAGGCAGCAGUGGGGAAUAUUGCACAAUGGGCGGAAGCCUGAUGCAGCGACGCCGCGUGGGGGAUGACGGCCUUCGGGUUGUAAACUCCUUUCGACCGCGAGGAAGCCACCUGGUUGGAAGGGUGGUGACGGUAGUGGUAGAAGAAGCACCGGCUAACUACGUG